rnacentral:lncRNA from 1 species
AUCCGUUAUAUGUAUAAUUUUUCUCAAAUACCGUCUGUCACGUGUCCACUCUAUCCAUAGCUUCCGAUCUUAUGAUGAUAGAUUAUUUUAUUUUUUAUUUUUGCUUCGAACCUCCCACCUCUUGCCUCUCAUUCUUUCCCCAUUCUAUUCAUAUAGUUUUCAAACCCAUGCUGCUGACCUCAAGCACCGUCCGUCAAAAAAUAUGAGGUGGGGAGGAGGAGGGGGGGCGAUCAAGAUGGAGGGCAUAAUCGGAGUCGGCAGGAUAGGUACCUUAGAAGUGGGCCCAUAGCUUUUGAAUCCAUGCCGUCUCCAUCAUUGCCGCCAACCUCAAGCACUAUCCACCAAAAAAUACAAGAUGAGGAGGAGGAGAGGGGCACAGUAGAAGGUGGUGUAAACGAGACAAAGGGCACGAUUAAGAUCUCAAUUUCUUCUGCAUGAAUCGUAAAGCAAAAAAAAAUUAAUUUUCUCCCACAUGAAUCGUAAAGCAAAAAAAAAAUCAAUUUUUCCCCACAAAUCGUAAAGCAGAAGAAAAAAAUAUAUAUAUAUUUUUUGAAAUCUCAUGCACUGUGUACGUGAGGUAGGGAAGGAAGAUUCUCCAUAAGAGUCUUCAUCUUCUACAUUUAUGACUGAAAAAAAAAUCUUAGAACAACCAAAUCCUAGAAUCCUAGGUCCAUAAAAAGUCCCCUCCUCUCUUCACCAUUUUAUCCCAAAACUCCAUCAUUAGCGUGAUUUCUUCGAUUCUUUUAAAUUUUUCAUUGAGCAUUUCUUGAUAACUCACCAUUGAUUCUUUAUUAGAGUUGAGGUAAUAGACACUAAGUUCUCUCCUCCUCUUUUUUCUGAUCUCAAUGAUAUUGUUGUAACCUAAAGUUCACCGGCAAUUCACAAAAUUUUGGUGGAAAAUGACUUUUCUUAUUUUUCU